rnacentral:rRNA from 1 species
GUCCACGCCGUAAACGUUGGGCACUAGGUGUGGGCCUCAACCAACGAGGUCCGUGCCGUCGCUAACGCAUUAAGUGCCCCGCCUGGGGGAGUACGGCCGCAAGGCUAAAACUCAAAGGAAUUGACGGGGGCCCGCACAAGCAGCGGAGCGUGUUGCUUAAUUCGAUGCAACGCGAAGAACCUUACCUGGGCUUGACAUGUAGGGAAAAGCCGUAGAGAUACGGUGUCCUUCGGGGCCCAUCACAGGUGGUGCAUGGCUGUCGU